CCUACGGGAGACAGCAGUGGGGGAUAUUGCACAAUGGGGGGAACCCUGAUGCAGCGACGCCGCGUGGGUGAAGGAGUGCUUCGGCAUGUAAAGCCCUAUCGGCAGGGAAGAAGCAAGACGGUACCUGACUAAGAAGCCCCGGCUAACUACGUGCCAGCAGCCGCGGUAAUACGUAGGGGGCGAGCGUUAUCCGGAUUCACUGGGUGUAAAGGGAGCGUAGACGGCCAUGCAAGCCAGGGGUGAAAGCCCGGGGCCCAACCCCGGGACUGCCCUUGGAACUGCAUGGCUGGAGGGCGGGAGGGGCAGGCGGAAUUACUGGUGUAGCGGUGAAAUGCGUAGAUAUCAGGAGGAACACCGGCGGCGAAGGCGGCCUGCUGGACCGCGACUGACGUUGAGGCUCGAAAGCGUGGGGAGCGAACAGGAUUAGAUACCCGAGUAGUC
rnacentral:rRNA from 1 species